rnacentral:tRNA from 1 species
GGAGAGAUGGCUGAGUGGUCGAAAGCGCCCGCCUGCUAAGUGGGUAGGGGACCUUAAAUCCUCUCUCGGGUUCGAAUCCCGAUCUCUCCGCCA